AUUGAACGCUGGCGGCAGGCCUAACACAUGCAAGUCGAGCGGAUGAGAGGAGCUUGCUCCUUGAUUCAGCGGCGGACGGGUGAGUAAUGCCUAGGAAUCUGCCUGGUAGUGGGGGACAACGUUUCGAAAGGAACGCUAAUACCGCAUACGUCCUACGGGAGAAAGCAGGGGACCUUCGGGCCUUGCGCUAUCAGAUGAGCCUAGGUCGGAUUAGCUAGUAGGUGGGGUAAUGGCCCACCUAGGCGACGAUCCGUAACUGGUCUGAGAGGAUGAUCAGUCACACUGGAACUGAGACACGGUCCAGACUCCUACGGGAGGCAGCAGUGGGGAAUAUUGGACAAUGGGCGAAAGCCUGAUCCAGCCAUGCCGCGUGUGUGAAGAAGGUCUUCGGAUUGUAAAGCACUUUAAGUUGGGAGGAAGGGCAGUAAGUUAAUACCUUGCUGUUUUGACGUUACCGACAGAAUAAGCACCGGCUAACUUCGUGCCAGCCGCCGCGGUAA
rnacentral:rRNA from 1 species